GGGUUGUGAGGUUAAGCGACUAAGCGUACACGGUGGAUGCCCUGGCAGUCAGAGGCGAUGAAGGACGUGCUAAUCUGCGAUAAGCGUCGGUGAGGUGAUAUGAACCGUUAUAACCGGCGAUUUCCGAAUGGGGAAACCCAGUGUGUUUCGACACACUAUCAUUAACUGAAUCCAUAGGUUAAUGAGGCGAACCGGGGGAACUGAAACAUCUAAGUACCCCGAGGAAAAGAAAUCAACCGAGAUUCCCCCAGUAGCGGCGAGCGAACGGGGAGGAGCCCAGAGCCUGAAUCAGUGUGUGUGUUAGUGGAAGCGUCUGGAAAGGCGCGCGAUACAGGGUGAC
rnacentral:rRNA from 1 species